rnacentral:ncRNA from 12 species
UGAUGCAUGAACCGGUGCUCGAGCUCUUCGAUGCCUUUGUCCAUUGCGACCGAGGCGUCAGGAGUUCUUGCUGAGAUUAUACGGUUGAACUUGAUCAGGAUAAUACCUGCGUCGAAGAAUCAUGCCCCUCCUCCCC